ACAUAGCUUGGUCACGUUGUC
rnacentral:miRNA from 17 species